rnacentral:piRNA from 1 species
AGUAUGAGGCACUUGAAAAACUU